rnacentral:rRNA from 1 species
CGGCCCAGCCCGCACCCCCACCACUCUCUCCUCUCUCCCUCGUUCCUAAUCUCUCCAACCGCACACGCCACCCGCCGCCAGCCCCAACUCUCCGGCAACCCGCCUCCCCCCGCCACCCACCUCCAGCGACGCGCCGCGCCCAGCACCUCCCACCUCCGGCGACGCGCCGUGACCACCGCACCCUGCCUCCUCCCUCAUGCCGCGCGCUGCCCCUGAACCCUGCCUCCUCUCUCGCGCCGCCCCCACUGCCCCCCGAGCGUGGCCGCCCCUCCACGGAUCCAAGCUCGCACGCCGCCGCCCCUCCCACCACGCCGAGCUCGCACGCCACCGCCGCCGGCGCCCCCAACUGGCCGCCCCUCGUCAGUUUGUGUGUUCCAUCCGCACCAAAAAUCGCCGUCCCUAGCUUCCCGUGGAUCCCUGCGCGCCGCCGCCCACCAGAAGGAUGCUCUCGUGCUCCCCGACGCCGCUUUCCUUAAGCAUUCGUGCGCUCCAAAAGUCAACGCGACACAGCUGCUUCCUCCGGCAACACCUCCUACCGACGCCGGCGGUUCUGAGGUUACCUUGUUAGUAGUUCAACUUUGCUAAAUUCUGUAGUUAACCAUUGCUAAAAAUCAUCUUAGAAAUUAUCUCGUUUAAAUAGUUCACCUUUUCUAAAAACUGUAGUUCUCUGGUUAGAAAAACAAUAGUUAUCUCUGCAAAAAAGUAUGACAAUUUUUUGGUAAAGUCUCAAUCUCUUCUCAGUUUUAGUGUACGCUCGCUGGCGAUGCGUCCAGCAUGCUUGCGGUGAUAGCGCCAUAGUGGCCACCACUAAUGGCAUUGGCGGCCAGCAUGCUUGCACAAAAAAUAGCUAGCUAGGUGUUCAGGAUCUUCUAUUUUAUCCCCCGAAACAGGGUGCUCAGGACGUCUAUUUUGUUCUCUGAAACACUAGCUAGGUGUUCCCAGUUCAGUACGUGGACUAUCAUCAUCUCUAGUUGCUGCUUCCUGCCACCAACGAAUUGCGCAAGUUCAAAGAGUGUCGCAUGACAAAUUCAAAAGGUGUUGUAUGGCAAGUUCAGAAUUUUGGUUUCGUGAAAAGUGUGAUUUUUGGACAAUAUUUUGUGCGAUUCAAUUGUUCAUCUUCAGAACUUGGAGAUGUUAAGUCUACUUUUUUCUAUGAUGAAGGUACACAUGAGAUCCAUCUGCAAUGGUUAUCGGCCCUAGUGCUUCAAAGAUGCUUAUUUUGUUUCCCCCGUGACACAGCGAGGAUGAUAGUGACGACACUUACAAAAUUGUUUUCUGUGUUGCUAUGUUGUCAGUCCAAAGUGUGGUGAAGAUGUAGUCCUGGGUGUGUAGAUGAUGUGGUGUGUGUCUGGUUGUGUGUGUGUGCAUGAUGAUUGGUGGCUGUUGUGUGUGUGUGCAGGGUACCCGGCGACAGCGGGUAGGCGGCAAGUGUACUGGUGAGCAGCUACCCGGAAAAUGCUGGAACAGGGCUUCCAAAGUAAGCUCCUUGCUUCUUGCUUCUCUUUAAAUCUCUUGAGCUUUACAUGGUAUGUUCAAGACAAGUCCUCUAGUGGUUGUAUUGUAUGAUGUUCGUUUAAAUGAUCGGCUAUACUGACACCGCAUACGUGGAAACUCAAAAUGAAAAUAAAAGGUGUUAAUGGAGAAAUAUAAGAACAAAAACAGUUAUGUGUAGCCAUCUAGCAACAUGGUGAUCAAACAAAAUCCCGACAGCCACCCUCCAUGGUGAUCAAUUCCAUGUGCUGAUGGGUAUGCUUGCUUAGCACAAAAUUCAUAAACUGUCAAUUUAUUUUGAAUUGAACUGAUGCUGCUCUUGAUUCAGACAUGAGGGGAGAAGACGGAACUAGAAUGAUUCAGUUCAUCAUUGGCACCCCUGUAAACCAAACAGUGAAGAACACACCCACUGUACUUUUGCUCUUGUUCUUUCUAUCUCCUGAAUUCCACGCUUUCUGUGAUGAGCAUGCUUGGUACUAUAUAGAUACUGCUGUAGUAGUUCUAAUACAAUAUAUUACAAGAAUUCAUUGACAAAAAAGGUGUCAGUUCAUAUAUGCAUGCAGCAGCUGUUCUGAUACUACUUCAGUAACCAGAAAAACACAGAAGUUCAACUAUACUUAUGCAAAAUAGUUCAAUAUUUUAUUCUAUGACAGUCAAGAAAAACAGAAAAAAAGAGGUUCAUCGUGUGAUGAGCAAUAGUCCCAACAACUGUGCUAGAGAUGCAAAAAAUUGAUAGCAUAGCCGAUGCUAUUUUUCAUCCAAUUUCGGAAGAAAACUGAAGUUGAUCAGAGUAACUGAAGAAUGAUCUGUUAGUUCUUGAGUAUGUGUAAUGCUGCCAUUUUACUAUGCAUUUGAUUCCAUCGUGAUGGAUGUAUUACAAAGAUAUGGCUGUAUUAUUAUGUUGAAUAAAAAUACCAUUUUGCUGCAACAUUUUCUGUCAGCUCCUGUCAAGUUAUACAUGUAUGUGAGGAUCCUUCUAUGUAGUAAGUUCAUAGUCGAGAAGUCAGGGACUUCGUAAGGAACGUGAACACCAAAAAACCAUUAAAAAACCUAAACCAUAUGUUAGGGGAGUUCAAGAAGUUCAUGGCUAGCUGUCCGUGUUCUGUAUUCUUAUCAGUUCAUAAUCGAGACGACAUGUAUUCUUAUCAGUUCAUAAUCGAGACGACAUGUAUUCUUAUCAGUUUGUUUAUCUAGCCCGUCGUGCUGUGUAUUCUGGUCAGUUCGUGUGUGUAUGUGUUGCCCUCGCAGUGUAUGAGAGGCCGCCCGUGAGGAAGUCGCCGAUCUGGUUGAGGCAUGCUGCUAUUCUCUAUAUCCGGUAGCACAAACAUUUAAAAGUUCGAACACCAAACCCUGGUGAGUUCUUCUUAACAAAAACUCAUCCCUCAUAUUUGUUCCUUUUUUCGUAGGUUGAAGUUAAAACAAGAUGGAGAUGUGUGUUUUGGAGAGAGAAGAACUUAUCUAGUGGAGUGCGUGUGUGUGCUGCUGCAUCCUCGUCCGGCAGCUCUAAUCCACACUCUCAGUACUAGGUGGUGGCAUUGCUUCACUUCUCUUGUUACGUUCUCUUCGCCCAAAUUCGGAGGAUCAAGAAAAUAAAAUAUCAUUCUUUUGACAUGCACUACUCAAAAGAAGGCAUUUCUGUUGAAAAAUUGUUUCGCUUGACAUGUACUUGCCAACAAUUAUGUAUAAUAAAUCAUGGCAUUGUAUGUAGAAAAAGAUAUAUUGUGUGUUCUGCUGUUGUAUUGAGUUGCUAUCUAUUGCUAAUUGUAUGAUGUUGCUAUUGCUCUCCGUGUCAUGUUAUGCAAGUUGACACCGAGUACACGUUGGAUGAUAUACUUAUACAAUAAAUAGCUAAAAAC